CGGGGGGGACGCGGUGUGCCACAGGCUGGGAGAAGCCAGCAGGGCCCUGGGUGUUGGUGGUGUCCUGGCACUCGGGGACAGCAGGAAUGCUGUGCCAGCACUGGGAAGGGAGCGAGGACAGAGCCAGCAGUGCAGCCUGGCUGGUUUGCUGCCCCUCCUUCCCUGCCCACGGCCAGGACCAGCCCCAUCCCCGCUGUCUGCCAGCACUCCCAGGAGGGCCCUGCUGCCCCCCACAACAGGGAUGCGUAAGAAGAACGAGAAGACGUACCAGCUUACUCCUCUAUACCAACAGAGCAGGAAUCAGGACCAAGUGCUGCCCAAGACAGGAGGGAGGAAGGCAGACAGAGAGGGAAGGAGACAUUAGAGAGGUAACUCAGAACAGACUGCGACUCUACGGAAGAAAACAGGCUGCAACAACAACAGUCAGAGGUGUUGACUGAGCAACAGAGACCCAUCCCAAGGACCCAGAGGCCCAUUCUGUGUGCCCAGUACCAUGGAUGUGCUCUCACCAGGACCCCAGUGGUGUCCUCACUGGUGCAAGCAGAGCUUGUGGCAUGGAAAGCUCUACCUGAGUAGAGCUCAGAGCAAGGCAAGAUGCUUGGCAAAUAAACCAGGGAAACCUGUG